GCGAGGCGGAGCCAGGGGAAGGCGGACCCGGGCCGAGGCGGAGGCCGCUGUGCCGCGCUGUGGCCGCGAGGUGGGGCUGUAGGUAAAGCAGCGCCGCUGAGGACGCCUCUAUUAAGUCAGUCUUAACCUAAUGAGCCUAAAUCGCACUAGAAACGUGGAUAUUGAUCCCCCUUCGCAACUAGAAAUGAUAGAAUUAUUGAAUCGUAGACUUGUUUCUGUUGGAAAGGACCUUAAAGAUCAGCUCAUUCCAACUGCCCUGUUGGGUAGGGGUGCCCUCCACUAGACCAGGUUUGAAAUACCAAGAACCACAGUCCUGCACAGAGUGUGCAUUAAUGGACAGGUGUCACAUCAGACGUCUGUGCAGCUUUUUACUUUGGGCCAGAGGAACUGUGGACUCACAGUGUGGGCAUCAUGUAAGGGAAGAAGGAACAGGCAGACACAUCUGCUGAGACCAGACAUCAGCUUGCCCUUCGUUUUUCUGGGAUAACAGCAGCUUAACAGGAAGCCUGAAGAAGUGCCAAAGUCGCUACUGUCUCAGAGGAAAGUGAGAAAUCAGCUGUUGCCACGGAAAUCUUGCAAAUGUUGGGCAACAGAGCUGGUUUGGGAGUUGGUGCCAUACAGGAGGUCAAAGUUUUAUUCAGGAUUCUCAUUUAUUUGUGUUUAGAAUGCAGCAGGACCUUGAUAAUGCCUACUAAGUGAUCUUACAGCAUAAAACACAGACUACCAAUGGGUCUUUGACCCUUUCUGCUAACAGGAUCAUGUUCAGUUCAGAAACUCUUACUAGCAUAGAGAUCUUCUGUUAAAAGAGGACAGAAAACAAACCUUUUUUAGCAUAGGUGUUGCUGCCAAGCAAAGAGAAAAGCAAAAUAAGAAACUCCAUGAAAAUUAAUGAAUAUAUUGCAUAGCAACUAACACUUGGCUUAUUGCAUAGAGUAAUGCUGAAAUAGGCAGAGGGCUUACAGCAUUCUGCAAACUGAUUUUCUCAUGGGUAAGUGAGGGCUAGAAGCACCAUAUAUCUGUGCCAUGUCUAACUAAGUUUUACGCUAGCAAGUGCUGUGGAGUUCUGUGCAAGCGGGCUAUUGGCUAUAUUUCUAGACUUUUUUGAUGGCAGGAAAUAUCUGGGUUUGUGUGCAUGUGCACAUUGCUCUCCACUAAAAUUGUCAUUUUCUCCCCAAAACAAAGCAGAUAUGGAAAGAACAAGCAAAGGAAUGUGAAAAAAACACAACUCUCAUAACUAAAACAUUCUGUUUCUUGUGAUGUCCUGUUUGUUUGCUGAAGGGUGAACUGUGAGAGAAUUUCUGGGCCAUUUUGCUCUACACAGCUGUAUGAUAAUAGCAUCUGCACUGACCACAUCAAUUCAGGAUAUUGAUUUGGAAGUUACAGAGUCACCACAGCCAGCUCUUUCUUUGCAUAAGCAACCAUGCUAUAUACUCCAUCCAAACUUGUCCAAUUUCACUUUCAAAACCAUUAACAGAGUUUGACUUGCUGUAUAUAUAUUGGAGAAUUCCAUUUGCCCACAAUUUCCCAAACCAGAAAUUUCUCAAGGAAGUGUUGUGAGAACAGAAUGAGAAUUCUCAUCCAUUCAGCUGAAGACAAGAGCAUGUCCCCAGCAAAGUAUUACAUAACUGGAGAUACAUAGUCCUAAUAGGUUGUUAGUGCAACAAAAGACAGCACAAGACCAUAGCUGAGUAGAACAGGAUUUUAAUUUACAAUUCCCUAAGUAAGUAGAUUUUACCCACUCACUCUGUCAUGCCCACAUACUUACAAGCACUAAGACAUGUGCAUGCCUGACCAGUUUUGCCAGGAUCACCUGUAUGCCAUGGAAGGCAGCAGCAAAUAGCUUUCAGGUCCUCACUACAUCUCUUGGGUUCCUCUCUAUGGGUGACAACAAAUGGGUCUGGACAGGUCUCUCUAGGCACUAACUGUUACUAUGAGACAAUAUUUUCACUGAACAAUCUUGUUUAUUUUAUCCUCCAUAAAUAUUCAAUAAGAUUGCUGUCUGUUCUGUUUGCCUCUCCAUUUUACAUACCUUAUGGUCUGUCUCAAUACUGAGAUAACAGGGAGAGGAAUGGCUCUUCCACUGUGCUGAAGCUUUGCUGCUUUGCUCUGUUGUUCUUCCAGUGCUGUUGUGGAUUUCCACCCAGACCAAUUCCAGUAUUUCUGUUACCCAGCUUUAUACACUGUAAUGGCAAAAAAAGCUUUUCCACCUUUUGCUGUUAAGAAACUUGCAAUACAUCUGAGCAUACUUGGCUGAGGAUCCAAGGCUAUGGCCCCAGAGAACUUUGAGCAGCAUGCCAGAUUUGUUCUCAAGUGCAUUACCUCAAGAGACAUCAUUUGAGUGUAACUAAUUAUCACUCUGCAGUGAAGUCAACUGAACAUCUUUUUACAUGCCUGGAUACCUGCCUUUGACCCCAGGCUACUACUCCUGCUUUCUAACCAGUAUUCCUCCUAAUAUCCCAAAGAAAAUGGUGGGUGGGUGUCUCAUAGCUUAUAUAAAAAUGCAAAGCUUAUAUGAAGAAAUUAAACUUUUUAUUGUCAAAACUGAAACUCCCCCAAACCAAGCAUUCAAAUUCAGUUCUUUCAGAAUAACAGGUCGCUCAGGGUACAGAAACAUUUUAAUGAUGACUAAUGUAAGCCUUGCAAAUACAUAUUUCAAGCUGUUUCUUCUUGCUGCAUACAUUCAGGGCUACAGAUGUGCUGUGUCAGGUCAGCUGCAGAAUAAAAUGGAACCUUUCAUACAUUUAUCCAAGGUCUCCAUUUUUAGUGCAUGUGAAAAAAUUUUGAUAAAGACCUUUUAAAAUCUAUAUUUCAUUAUUUUCUCCUAAGAUUAGGCACACUAGGGUUUGACACUUUUUCAGUUAUUACUCGUUAUUGACUUUUUCAAACUGGCAUUCAUUGUCUCUGAAAAUAAAGAGUAUUCAGUUCAAAUUGCAAUAAAUUUUAGUCUCAAGACAGGAAUUGCCAAUAUAAGAGAUUUACCUCUGAAAGAUAACCUGAUGGAAAAUGUUUUUUCAUCUGGAAUAUGGGAUUUGUUAUCCUGGCUUGAAUCAGUCUAGUGGAGCUCUGUCUCAGCAAAUGCAUCUGGCCAAAUAAUGAGGACUGUGGAGCCAAAGGGAGUAGUUUUUCUUUUAUGAUUCUUAGAAAGGUUUGGUUUAUUUGAGUAGAUUUAUCUAAGUGGCUUGCAAGCAAUUAGGAGUCACUAAAAUUACACAGCACUUAAAAAAUGUUUGUGCUGUAACUAACUUGGUGAUCAGUUGCAGAGUUUAACUUUGCAUUUAUUCCCUUUGGUUUUGCAGAAUUGUAGCUCAGGUCUUGGAAACACAUUCAGUGAAGAAAUAGCUGCAAAAAUAUAAAUUGUUAUUGACCAACUCUUUGUUGUUCUCCUGGCAGAGGUGAACACAGCCACAUUUUCAAUGUCCUCCCUUUUGGAAUCAGUAGAGCAAAAUGAUCCUUUAGCCACUUUACUGUGAAAUCUAGUAGUUUAGUAACAGAACCCAAAUUACUGCAAGAGGCAGUUGAUCCUGAGCUGCUAGAUUUCAUAUGAUAUUGGCUUAGAAUCACAUAAAUGUUACUUGUAAGAGAUUUGGAAAAUGUAACCAGGUGUGGGCAGUGAGGAGAGUAAGGAUUGGCAGCCUCUUAAAUCACUGCAACUGCUUCUAAAAUGAAAAACCACACAAGCCUUGGAAUUCUAAUCUGCCAUCCCAGUAAUUUCUGUACCACAGCUUUUUGUCAUCCUUUACAAACCCCUUGGAAAUGGUGAUAAGGGUGUUCAGAAUAGAGAUGAUGCUCACUUACAUCAGUUCCAGAAGUAUGGCCAUUAGUCACUCAGGAGAUAAUUUUUACUGAAAAGUUUCUCUUUUCCACCAUAUGAAAAAGGAGAUAUUGAUUUUUGCCUUGAAAUGCAGCUUUCAAAAUACUGAAUUAGAAAUUCUGCAUGAAGAAUGAAAGGCUAGAAGUUCACUGAUUCUAAAAUUUAACAGGUGUUACGUUUUUGUUCUUAAAUUGUCAGUUGUCCUCAAUGAGAGGUAAAAGAAUGUGUAAAGUUCUCACUAGAAUUUUGUAAAUUGUAAUAGCUAGCAUGCUAGGACUAUGAAACAUCUUCACAGAAAUGCAGCUAGGAGCAAAAAGAGUACCAGACUAAAGAAGCUUGGAGGCUCAGUGAAAAAAUGAGGUGCUCUGUUUCCCAUUCAGCAUUGUUUAUGCCCAGCAUAAAAGCCACAGAAAACUGAGGAGGAAAACUCUGAAAAGACCAGCAGUUAUCUUCCACUGUAUUUUUAGCAUGGGAUCAUAGCCAGACAGCAUCACUCAGCAGCCUCCCAUGGUGUUCCUUGGUUCAGCCAGACAAUCUGAAAGCCCAAGGAAUGACUUUGCACUUGUGCUUGUACCAAGCAAGCUGCAGGAGGCUUUCCAUCCUUGCUUAGCACAGUCAGUGGUACUAAGAGCUGUAUUUGUCAACAGCUUUGUAUUGCUCUCAGUAUCAUGCCAGUUAUCCUUGCUCCUGAGGUUUCUGCUGGCAGCACCGUCCGUGCUAAUGCUGCUAACAGCACUGCAGCUGAAUCACUGAGAACAGAAUUCUUCACAGUGCACCAAACUCAGGCUGACUCAAAAUAGCAGUGAUGCACUGUCAUCAAAAAGUACCUGCAAGUAGAAGAGCUCUCAUUAAAGCUGGUCAAAACCUUCCCAGUAGGAUCAGCUCUGCUUCUUGUAUCUAGCUGGGGUAGACAGUACCUUUAUCCUUCUAAUACAGUAGUUUUGUCAGAGGGCUGCAGUUAUUUGCAGUAUUCACAAGUACACACAGUUGAGGGUGGAAAUGUGAAAAAAACAUUAGUGGGAGACUUUUACUGAUGCUAUACUCAGAGUAUUCACCUUUCCUUCACCAGCUGUGAGAUCAUGGUCAGGUCACAGAUCUCAUGGCAUCUCUUCCCAAAGGCAAAGACAGAGGUAUGACCUAAGUAGAUGUACUGAAAGUAGCUUGAACUAGCUAAAGAGACAAUAGGAGAUGAUACACAUAGGUCAAUAAAGGCCCCAAAGCCCAUUUAAAAAUUCAGGUAAACAUUCGGUGUGCUGGCCACCCUGAGAUGCUGCAGCAUCUUUCUCCAAACCACCUGCCCAUAAGUUCACUCUGGAUUGUCUCUGCAGGCUGCAGUCACACACUGAUUGCAGUAUGGACACAUCCUCAGUACUUCUAGUGGUCAAGCUCUCUACAUAGGGGUGACUGGAAAUCAGAAAGUAUUUCUUAACAUGGAUUUUACAUCCUCUGCCCAGGGCACUCUACUGACACAAGAUUAUUCUCAAAUAUGUGUGGAAUAACAGUGCUUUGUUCUACAUUAGUACAUUCAACUUUUCUAGUGAGGAAUACACUAACAUGAACAAACAUUCCUAAUUCUGUAGUAGUAGUUGUGGACACAUGGAAUCCCUCUGCAGAACUAGCCUGUAAAUUCUCUCUCUGUUUUACUCCAGUCUCGUUUGCAGGUUUCCUGGUUGGAAGGGGGUAGUUCACUGUUAUUUCUAGAGCAGCUCCCCAAAACAUUUUAAAUAUGAUAUGGCUUGAUAUGGCUUCCUCCACAUGUCUCUCUCUUGAGACACUCUGACUGAAGGCCUGUGCCUCUUCUGCUGGUAAUUCAGUAUCUUUGCUGUAAGCCCUGUCCCAGCUUUUCUGUCUGUGCAAUUUAUUAAAUUCAAUGUUUAGUACCUUA